rnacentral:tRNA from 1 species
UUAACUUUGGCAGAGCUAAUGCAUUUAAUUUAGGAUUAAAAUAUACCCCAUGGGUAAGUUAUU